UACGGAGGGGGCUAGCGUUGUUCGGAAUUACUGGGCGUAAAGCGCACGUAGGCGGCUUUGUAAGUUAGAGGUGAAAGCCCAGGGCUCAACCCUGGAAUUGCCUUUAAGACUGCAUCGCUUGAACAUCGGAGAGGUAAGUGGAAUUCCGAGUGUAGAGGUGAAAUUCGUAGAUAUUCGGAAGAACACCAGUGGCGAAGGCGACUUACUGGACGAUUGUUGACGCUGAGGUGCGAAAGCGUGGGGAACAAACAGG
rnacentral:rRNA from 1 species